ACGGAGGGGGCUAGCGUUGUUCGGAAUUACUGGGCGUAAAGCGCACGUAGGCGGCUUUGUAAGUUAGAGGUGAAAGCCCGGAGCUCAACUCCGGAAUUGCCUUUAAGACUGCAUCGCUUGAAUCAUGGAGAGGUGAGUGGAAUUCCGAGUGUAGAGGUGAAAUUCGUAGAUAUUCGGAAGAACACCAGUGGCGAAGGCGACUCACUGGACAUGUAUUGACGCUGAGGUGCGAAAGCGUGGGGAGCAAACAGGA
rnacentral:rRNA from 1 species